GGUUAAGCGACUAAGCGUACACGGUGGAUGCCCUGGCAGUCAGAGGCGAUGAAGGACGUGCUAAUCUGCGAUAAGCGUCGGUAAGGUGAUAUGAACCGUUAUAACCGGCGAUUUCCGAAUGGGGAAACCCAGUGUGUUUCGACACACUAUCAUUAACUGAAUCCAUAGGUUAAUGAGGCGAACCGGGGGAACUGAAACAUCUAAGUACCCCGAGGAAAAGAAAUCAACCGAGAUUCCCCCAGUAGCGGCGAGCGAACGGGGAGCAGCCCAGAGCCUGAAUCAGUGUGUGUGUUAGUGGAAGCGUCUGGAAAGGCGCGCGAUACAGGGUGACAGCCCCGUACACAAAAAUGCACAUACUGUGAGCUCGAUGAGUAGGGCGGGACACGUGGUAUCCUGUCUGAAUAUGGGGGGACCAUCCUCCAAGGCUAAAUACUCCUGACUGACCGAUAGUGAACCAGUACCGUGAGGGAAAGGCGAAAAGAACCCCGGCGAGGGGAGUGAAAAAGAACCUGAAACCGUGUACGUACAAGCAGUGGGAGCACGCUUCGGCGUGUGACUGCGUACCUUUUGUAUAAUGGGUCAGCGACUUAUAUUCUGUAGCAAGGUUAACCGAAUAGGGGAGCCGAAGGGAAACCGAGUCUUAACUGGGCGUUAAGUUGCAGGGUAUAGACCCGAAACCCGGUGAUCUAGCCAUGGGCAGGUUGAAGGUUGGGUAACACUAACUGGAGGACCGAACCGACUAAUGUUGAAAAAUUAGCGGAUGACUUGUGGCUGGGGGUGAAAGGCCAAUCAAACCGGGAGAUAGCUGGUUCUCCCCGAAAGCUAUUUAGGUAGCGCCUCGUGAAUUCAUCUCCGGGGGUAGAGCACUGUUUCGGCAAGGGGGUCAUCCCGACUUACCAACCCGAUGCAAACUGCGAAUACCGGAGAAUGUUAUCACGGGAGACACACGGCGGGUGCUAACGUCCGUCGUGAAGAGGGAAACAACCCAGACCGCCAGCUAAGGUCCCAAAGUCAUGGUUAAGUGGGAAACGAUGUGGGAAGGCCCAGACAGCCAGGAUGUUGGCUUAGAAGCAGCCAUCAUUUAAAGAAAGCGUAAUAGCUCACUGGUCGAGUCGGCCUGCGCGGAAGAUGUAACGGGGCUAAACCAUGCACCGAAGCUGCGGCAGCGACACUAUGUGUUGUUGGGUAGGGGAGCGUUCUGUAAGCCUGUGAAGGUGUGCUGUGAGGCAUGCUGGAGGUAUCAGAAGUGCGAAUGCUGACAUAAGUAACGAUAAAGCGGGUGAAAAGCCCGCUCGCCGGAAGACCAAGGGUUCCUGUCCAACGUUAAUCGGGGCAGGGUGAGUCGACCCCUAAGGCGAGGCCGAAAGGCGUAGUCGAUGGGAAACAGGUUAAUAUUCCUGUACUUGGUGUUACUGCGAAGGGGGGACGGAGAAGGCUAUGUUGGCCGGGCGACGGUUGUCCCGGUUUAAGCGUGUAGGCUGGUUUUCCAGGCAAAUCCGGAAAAUCAAGGCUGAGGCGUGAUGACGAGGCACUACGGUGCUGAAGCAACAAAUGCCCUGCUUCCAGGAAAAGCCUCUAAGCAUCAGGUAACAUCAAAUCGUACCCCAAACCGACACAGGUGGUCAGGUAGAGAAUACCAAGGCGCUUGAGAGAACUCGGGUGAAGGAACUAGGCAAAAUGGUGCCGUAACUUCGGGAGAAGGCACGCUGAUAUGUAGGUGAAGUCCCUCGCGGAUGGAGCUGAAAUCAGUCGAAGAUACCAGCUGGCUGCAACUGUUUAUUAAAAACACAGCACUGUGCAAACACGAAAGUGGACGUAUACGGUGUGACGCCUGCCCGGUGCCGGAAGGUUAAUUGAUGGGGUCAGCGCAAGCGAAGCUCUUGAUCGAAGCCCCGGUAAACGGCGGCCGUAACUAUAACGGUCCUAAGGUAGCGAAAUUCCUUGUCGGGUAAGUUCCGACCUGCACGAAUGGCGUAAUGAUGGCCAGGCUGUCUCCACCCGAGACUCAGUGAAAUUGAACUCGCUGUGAAGAUGCAGUGUACCCGCGGCAAGACGGAAAGACCCCGUGAACCUUUACUAUAGCUUGACACUGAACAUUGAGCCUUGAUGUGUAGGAUAGGUGGGAGGCUUUGAAGUGUGGACGCCAGUCUGCAUGGAGCCGACCUUGAAAUACCACCCUUUAAUGUUUGAUGUUCUAACGUGGACCCGUGAUCCGGGUUGCGGACAGUGUCUGGUGGGUAGUUUGACUGGGGCGGUCUCCUCCUAAAGAGUAACGGAGGAGCACGAAGGUUGGCUAAUCCUGGUCGGACAUCAGGAGGUUAGUGCAAUGGCAUAAGCCAGCUUGACUGCGAGCGUGACGGCGCGAGCAGGUGCGAAAGCAGGUCAUAGUGAUCCGGUGGUUCUGAAUGGAAGGGCCAUCGCUCAACGGAUAAAAGGUACUCCGGGGAUAACAGGCUGAUACCGCCCAAGAGUUCAUAUCGACGGCGGUGUUUGGCACCUCGAUGUCGGCUCAUCACAUCCUGGGGCUGAAGUAGGUCCCAAGGGUAUGGCUGUUCGCCAUUUAAAGUGGUACGCGAGCUGGGUUUAGAACGUCGUGAGACAGUUCGGUCCCUAUCUGCCGUGGGCGCUGGAGAACUGAGGGGGGCUGCUCCUAGUACGAGAGGACCGGAGUGGACGCAUCACUGGUGUUCGGGUUGUCAUGCCAAUGGCACUGCCCGGUAGCUAAAUGCGGAAGAGAUAAGUGCUGAAAGCAUCUAAGCACGAAACUUGCCCCGAGAUGAGUUCUCCCUGACUCCUUGAGAGUCCUGAAGGAACGUUGAAGACGACGACGUUGAUAGGCCGGGUGUGUAAGCGCAGCGAUGCGUUGAGCUAACCGGUACUAAUGAACCGUGAGGCUUAACCUU
rnacentral:rRNA from 1 species